rnacentral:lncRNA from 1 species
AGCGCCCCCUGCCGGGCAGCGCCCGCACAGCCGCCCGCGCGCUGCCGGGAUGGCGCCGGGUCCGCCCCGCCCGCUCUCCUCCCUCUCCAGGAGCGGGCGGGAAGGAAAGGGUUACGGGAACGAGGUGUUGGACGCCGCCGAGUUUCGUCACCGGGGGGCAAAGCCAGGAGUUCUUGGGACGCCGUUUCCGCCGUUUCCGGAUCCCCCAACCGUUGUCUCCUGGCGCCCGGCUCGCCGAGUCUCCCUCUCCACGCUGCAGGGCCCGCCGGCGAAACCGGGAACGGCAUGCAGGCUUGAAAAAAAGGCAACGGGAAAAAGAAUCAGAGAGGCGUAGGAGGGCUAAAAAAUUCAUAACUCGAUAAGCCCACAAGCAAUCAUUACUAUUUAUCAAGAGGAAAGGAGAAAACCCAGACAAUCGUAAUGCAAAUCAGUCACAAACCCCGGUGCACUUACCGCAUGAAUAUUGUAACUCAACGAUUCCACACCAGAAAGUCUCCAAACCCAUCACCAGGCAUUAAGGCAUUUCUGUUUGACUAUCCAGGGCGUAUUGCCAGCUUAAGUUUUGGAUAGGGUUCACUUCCCCAUGCCCCCACCACCAUGCCAGACCGGCAGAGCGCUUGCCUCUCCCUGAAGCACAAACACCUCGCUUAGCUGAGAAAUCCCAGCAGGAGCAGCUCUGUCAAACAGGAGGACUUACUUCCAGGGCAUAGAUUUUUGCUCCCUCAAACACAAAACCACCACAUGACUCACCUUUGCCAGGAAGGAUAUCAGAAGCACUGUACACGAAAACAUAGCUCUAGGUCAGGCUCUGGACAGACUGCCUCGAUGGUCUCACAAGUGCUCCUCAGACCAAAACCACAAAGGCUCUUCAUGGACAAUGAAAAUCCCACUCCAGUCCUAAGUCAGGGACUUCAAACUGAAGUGGGCUUUAUUCAACAAAAAAGGUCACGUCUGUGGAAAAUGGUUGUAGAUGCUUGCCACUGUAGGAUUCUGCAUGUUAGGUUGGAGGUCCUGUCUAUGCUGUUAUGGCCCACAUGCAACACUGGCAAGACUAAAGACAAAUAUUUUUCAUAUGGACUCAGGUUGGGACACAGCUGAUUGACUGUGCUCAGGCAACCAGGAAAUCUGCUGGUUAGUGCUGGUGUGCCUUAGUGACAGGGAAUGGAAGAGAAGGGCUGCCCUAUGGUCUUACAUGCUGGAAAUACAUGGUAAUGUUUGUGAGUUACUAACUGGGAAGGUAUGUGCUGCUCUUCCAGGAAGAUUGAGCUAGAGAUCUACUGUAGUUAUUUCUGGUGAUCACAUGAGUUUGCUGGUUUCUUUGCAAUACAUUAUUAUUUAAGAACAUUAAAAGAU